GCCCCCUUCGUCUAGCGGCCUAGGACAACGGGUUUUCAGCCCGUGAAUCGCCGGUUCGAAUCCGGCAGGGGGUA
rnacentral:tRNA from 1 species